CGCCAGACUCCUACGGGAGGCAGCAGUGAGGAAUAUUGGUCAAUGGUCGGGAGACUGAACCAGCCAAGCCGCGUGAGGGAGGAAGGUACAGAGUAUCGUAAACCUCUUUUGUCAGGGAACAAAGGCGGGGACGUGUCCCCGGAUGAGUGUACCUGAAGAAAAAGCAUCGGCUAACUCCGUGCCAGCAGCCGCGGUAAUACGGAGGAUGCGAGCGUUAUCCGGUUUUAUUGGGUUUAAAGGGUGCGCAGGCGGCCUUUUAAGUCAGGGGUAAAAGCCGGGGGCUCAACCCCGGCGAGCCGUUGAAACUGGCGGGCUGGAGUUGGAGAGAAGUACGCGGAAUGCGUGGUGUAGCGGUGAAAUGCAUAGAUAUCACGCAGAACUCCGAUUGCGAAGGCAGCAUACCGGCGCCCGACUGACGCUGAGGCACGAAAGCGUGGGGAUCGAACAGGAUUAGAUACCCUUGUAGG
rnacentral:rRNA from 1 species